rnacentral:rRNA from 1 species
UGUUGACGUUAUUCUGAAAGGGAUACUUCUUCGGACAAUAUACAAGGUGCUGCAUGGUUGUCGUCAGCUCGUGCCGUGAGGUGUCGGGUUAAGUCCCAUAACGAGCGCAACCCCUACCUUUAGUUGCCAUCAGGUUAAGCUGGGGACUCUAAAGGAACUGCCUACGCAAGUAGUGAGGAAGGCGGGGAUGACGUCAAAUCAGCACGGCCCUUACGUCCAGGGCUACACACGUGCUACAAUGGCCGGUACAAAGGGCAGCUACCUGGUGACAGGAUGCUAAUCUCAAAAGCCGGUCUCAGUUCGGAUCGGAGUCUGCAACCCGACUCCGUGAAGUUGGAUUCGCUAGUAAUCGCGCAUCAGCCAUGGCGCGGUGAAUACGUUCCCGGGCCUU